AAAAGAAAGAAAGAAAAAAAAAGAGUAGUGGGGAAAGAAAAUGGGCAAUAAUUUAUAUAAGUUAAAUUAGCAACCGAUUUUAGCAAUUUUUGCAACUAAUUAUUUUGAUUUCAAUUGGUUGCAAAAAUCAAUUGUUAUUAGUAACCAAUUCACAAAUCAGUUGCAAAUUUAAAUUAAAAAAAAGGUGAAAAUUUUUUAGGGGGAAAAAUCAGUUUUAAAGAUUAGUUGUUAUUAGCAACCUAUUCGCAAAUUGCUUGCAAAUCAAAAGAAAAAAAAAUUGGGUGAAAUUUUUUUGGAGGGAAAAAAUUAAUUGAAAAUUUAUUUACUAAUAGCAACUGAUUUUAAUUAGUUUUAAAAAUAGGCUGCUGUUAGCAACCAAUUCACAGAAUUGGUUGCAAAUGAAAAAAAGAAAACAAAAAAUUAGGGGGGAAUUUUUUUUUUUGGAGGGAGGAAUCGGUUGCAAAAUUAUCGAUUUUAAUCAGUUGUAAAAAUCGGUUGCUAUUAACAACAAAUUCACAAUUCAGUUGCAAAUAAAAAAAAUAAAUAAAUAAUUAGUGAGAAUUUUUUGGGGAAAAAAUUUAACAAGGGAUUUGCAAUUUGUUACAAAAAUCAGUUACUGUUAGCAACCAACAAAGAGUCAAUUGUAAAUAUCAACCGAUUUACCUAACUUUAGUGCUAAUUAAAAUAAUUCUUUAAUUUAGCAAUCAACUCCUUAAAUUGGUUGCUAUUAGCAAUCAAUUUUAAAAUCGAUUGCGAUUAGUAACAAAUUUUAGCAACUGAUUUUAAAAUCGGCUACUAAUUGUAUAUUUAAGAUUUUUCUAAUAUCGAUUAGCAACUGAUUUAGCAACCAAUUAUAAAUGGGUUGCUAAUAGCAACUGAUUUUAUCAACUAAUAAUAAAUCGAUUGUUAAUUAUAAUCAAUUUAGCAAUCGAUUCUUGAAUUAAUUACUAAAUUUUUAAAAAUUAACUAUUUUACUAAAAAAAAAAUCUAAAAUUACAAAUCAAUUAUAAAAUUGAUUGCUAUCAAUUACAAAAAUCAGUUGCAAAACUAAUUGUUCUUUUAUAGUGGGAGAAAAAUGACCCUUUUAACUUGCAAAUUAAAUAUUAUACGUAAAAUAGAUUUUUCUAGUAACAAAAUUCAAAAUUUGAGAUUUUUUUGAAAGAAAAUAAUAUUGAAGGGUUGAAAUAAAUGAUGAAUAAAAAUUAGACAUCAAAUGUGAAUUGGAAAAGAAUUGAA
rnacentral:misc_RNA from 1 species